CUCUUCUGAGCCUCAGCCUCCUGUCUGGAGCGAGGAGGCAGCUCAGGGUGGUUCUGAUUUGCAUCUCCCUGAUGAGCAGUGACACGGGGAAUUUCUUCAGGUACCCCCAGUCCUGUGCGUGUACCCUAUGGCCAUUUGCAUGUCUUCUUUGGAAAAGUCCACACUUAGACCUGGUGACGGUUUCUGACUGGGCCGCGAGGCGGUUCUGGCUGGUGCCUGGGUGUUCUCGUCAGACUGUAAACGCACCCUCCCGUCCCUCCGAGGUUCUUCUGCUUUUUCUGUUUCACGAAGCUGUCGAGGUGCACAAAGGUCAGUGACCUGGGCCACAGAGGUGGUCCCUGGUACAGCUGGGACUCAGAUUGGGAACCUGGCCCCGGGGCCUGUGCUCAGUGACCGCGCCCUGGUUCACGCUUCCUGUGUGUCUGCGCUGGCUCACUCGGGGACGCUGACUGACCGUCGCCUGUGCUCCAGGGGCCAGUCCAGGCGCAGCAGCCGAGCAGGGACCACUUCAGAAAAAACACCUGUGGCCUCACAGGGGCCAGGUAGAGUCUGUGGGGAACAGGCGGUAAAGAGUUCCAAUCAGUGAAACACACCAAGGUUGGCGCUGGACCCUGAAGGAGGAGGGCGAGGGCAGGGAGAGGCCGUGCAGCCUGGAGGGGGGCAGCAGCUCUGCCCGGGAGGCCCAGGAAGGUCAGCACCCAGCGGGAGGAGAGCCCCCACACCCCCGGGCAGGAGCACCCCAGGCAGAGGUCGCAAGGAGGACGCAGGCGGGCACAUUCUGGGCACACCCACCCAGGGAGACAGGAGGCUGCUCCAGAGCCGGCAAGGGGGGACUCAGUCAGCACUGACCUAGUGCUGACCCCGUGAGUAGGACCCACGGGGAAGCCCUGGGUGUUCGUGAGCAGAGUGACCACAGCGGCUUGCAUGUUUACUGUGUUCUAUUGCCACUUUAUUACCAUUUACCUAUCCAUCCACACACACACACACACACACACACACACACACACACACGUGUAUAUAUAUGUCUAUAUGUGUUUUGUUCCAGGGAGAGAACCCAGGGGUGCCUUACCAGUGAGCCACAUCCCCAACCCUUUCUAUUUUUUAUUUGGAGACAGCAUCUCACUCAGUUGCUUAGGGCCUUGCUACGUUGCUGAGACUGGCCUUGAACUUGUGAUCCUCCUGCCGGCCUCCAGAGCCGCUGGGCGGACAGGUGUGGGCCACUGCACCUGGCCUUAUUUUUCUUUAAGCCUGAAAAACUGGAAGCGUAGAGUUGUCUUGAGCUGAAAUGUGGACAGUGCAGGAGGAGCGCAGCGUGGGCGGAGACCAGAAGGUCCGUCACGGCAGGGGGCUCCAGGCCUCCUUCGUUUCAGGAAACGCUGGCCAUAACGCUCUGGAGGAUGCUUCUGGCUCUCAUCCUCCUCGGUCCUGCCUCCUGUCCCACGCCCUGGACCUCCUGGCCACGUCCCUGCAGGCCCUCCGUGUGCAUCGUCCCCACCAGGCACGUCCCCUCCUUCCUCGGGAGCCUUCGACUCCCCUGCCUUGGGGCUGGCCCAAGGCUGCAAACACAUGUUCUUUAUUUUUUGGUUCAUCUUCUUGAUUCUUUUUUCUUUUUUACAGUGAGAAGUUAAGUCUAAAAUAACCCAGUGAAGAGAUUCCCAGAGCCAACAUUCCAUCUGCACCCCUCGGGAGCCUGUCCCCCCGCCCGGGGUCUACCCACCCAUCUGAGCACCUCCCUGUCUCCUGGACGCGGGGACCUCCCAGCCGCUCUGUCCACACCGGUGUUCCCCCUCUAAAGAAGGCUAUGGUGCCGCAGUCCAGGUGGCACAGAGUGUUGGCCCCGGGUCGAAAUGCAGCUCUGUUCAAGCCCAGCGCCACUCGGACUCAUUCACCCCAGAGCCUCCGUGUGCUCAUCUAGAAACGGGUCUGACAAUGACACCUUCACAGACACCUUCACGGAGCUGUGAGAGUUGGGGGAACUGUCCAUGGGGGACCGGAGCAGUGCUGGGCGCACAGUGCCGGCUCAGAACGUGUGAGCUGCUGUCCCCCUCCCUUCCCGCUAUUCCCCUUCUCCACUGCUCCUUCCUUGCAGAGCUGGGGGUGAACCCAGGCCCUGCGCGUGCGGGUCCUGCGCGGGGCCACUCAGCGACGCCCCCAGCCUGCUGUUCUUUCCUGCCUUCUGCAAGUCUGUCUCCACGAAGGGUUCCUGCAGAUAUAUUUAGACAAAAAUAUGAUUAUGCCUGCUUAUGCUCAAAACCCUCCCCACAUUCCUAAAGAUAGCAUCCCAAAUCUCCAGCAGCCUCCCAGGUGGCCCGCUCAGCCGUCACUGCCCCACUUGUGUUGAUUCUCCUUCUUGGAACAGGUGAAAUCGUUUCCUGAUGGCAGAGCCAUCUCCCCUCCUCAGCCCUGGGCCCUGUGCCCUAUGCCCUGCUCCUGGGCCAACUCCCCACCCUGGGCUCUGCUUGCCUGGUGGCCUUCCCUGCGGUCUGCCACGAGGCGAGUUCCCGUUUCACCAGGGUCACGGGGUUCCCUUUCCUUUGGGGCUGUGUUGGCACCAGCAGCUGUGGUUGUGACACCAGGUCUCUCUGCUGCAGGUCCUCACUGCUGUCCCCUGCCCCCUGGCUGACUGGCACCACCAGAACAUGGGCAGCAGGAAUGGAUGCCACAGGAUGCCCACUGCCACCCUCCCUCCCUCCCUCCAGGACUCUAGGGCACAUUGGCUCCAAGAGCUGGAGGAAUCCCAGCAGCCUGGCCACUGCCCAGAAGGACCCAGCUGCCAGGCGCCCACCUGUAGAGACAGUGAGCCCCUGAUGGGCCGCUGACAGCCCAGGUGGCCUGUUGGGAAGCUGCUGGUCCCCACGGGCCUGUGAGCCCCGUAACUUGUGCAUCCCCCUAGGCCUUCCGUGGACACCCCAAGAGUGAGCGCUGGUUCCUGUGGGGCAGGGGACGUUGCUCAGCCUCCUGGGGUGACCUGUGGAAGGUUCCCAUGUGUUGUGAUGCUCAUGUCCCACUUCCCAGCCUGCUGCCAGCCUCCUCCAGGACCCGGUGGCUGACACUGCCCAUUUAGACCUGGCGUUGGGUCAGGGAUGGCGUCCAGGCUGGACACAGGUGUGGCCGGGGAUGUCUGAGGACGAUGGUUCUCCUUUUCCCAAGCAAGGGAAGAGGAACCAGACCUCGGGAGGACCUUUCUAUGAGACACUUGCUAGAAACCCACAAACGUCUGUGCUGGGGCUCUGACCACAUCCUGAGCCUGUGUGUGCAUUGCGGGUGUGGGGCAGCACCAUGCCAGCAUGUCUGCUUCCUGGGCCCCUGACCAGGCGUGAGCUGGCAGAAGGACGCCUGUGGGCUGGAGGCCAGGGGGCUGGGAGGCCAGGAGGCCCCGACACCGGGAAGGCGGGUCUCUCCCUACACUCGAGUCCUGCUUGGUCCCGUGCUGCGGGGCCAGGGCAAUUCAGAGAAGCAGGGACAGUGACAGGAGGGCAUUAUCCACCCAAGCCCCAGGCCUCCCUGCCCCAGCUUGGAACCAAGAGCUGAGAGACUUAAUCAAGCACGGAUUUUGAGUGGCAUUCUGAGCAUUUCCCCUCUGGAGAUCUCUUCUCGAGCUGCUGGGGCCCCACCACCUGAGCACAGGUGGGCAAUUCGUUCUCUAAACCAUGAAGGUUGAUCUCUAACUGACUCCCACCAGGAAAACUGGCAUUGGGUGAGGCAGGGCUGGUUUGGGGGGUGACUCUGGGGUGUAAUUCCCAAGUGUUUGGAGCUCACGAGACUCCAGAUUCGAAUUCCUAUGCAGAUAACUUCUCAGCGUCUCCAUCACCGGAAGAGUUCUGCAGCCUGCUGGGCCUCCCAGUUCCACCCAGAUGAAUGAGAACAUCUGGGGCCCAAGGGUAGAGACGGUGCUGGACUCCAGGACAAUGUCCACGUUCCCCGUCGCAUCCAGAGCCACAGCCAGUUCAGGACGUGCCCUGGCCAAGGGGGGCCCAGAGCAGAGCUGGUGAUUUGGGGCUGGAUGGGUACCUGACCUCAGGUCUGCCCCUCAUGUUCAGAGACGGGCACAACUGGGCCCUAGGAAGCAGAGCUCAGGAAAGUGGAGGAGAAGCCACAGCCGGCCACCCCUGCUCCCUCCAUCCUGGUGGUCUGUGCAGCCUCCUUCCGGGAGCUGCUCUCUGCAGGGCGCCUGGGGCCUCCCUCUCGUGUCACCCACAGCUGCGGGCGGCCAUUCCACUGAGCACAGGAGUGGGUCUCCGGGGAGGGGGGCCGUGCUGGGGGCCAUGGGACUGUGCUCAUUUGCCGAACAUCUGAUUCCUCUUCACCAAGCAGAAAGGUCUGCUGCUCUCCCCCAAAAUCAACGUGGUUUCCCUUUCGUGGUCUUGUAGAAUUCCCGGGAAGUGGCUUCCACCAGGGAUGCUUUCCCUGUUUCCCUUGCAUCCAAGGGUGACCACCUGACUCUUUACUACCAAGGAUGAUGCGGGGGCCCUCGGGCCAGCAGGUGCACGGAGGUCCUCCACACUCUUCUUCUCUUUCUGGCUGGAAGCUGAGGUCGUCUUCAUCCAGGAGGAUGGUGGGACCCACCCACGGGAGCAGUGAGCCUUCGUGGGCAGCCCCUGGGUGCUGAGAUCCACGGCCGAGUCUGUAUGGCCCCUGGCAUUUUGCCAACAGUAUUGAUUGACAGGCGAGGCAUUACUAUCCGCCUCUGCGGCAACUUUUGAGUUAUCGCACUAUUUUGGAGUUCUCGUGGGGAUUUCCGGGGAUUCCCCGAGAGUUCCCAUUGGUUGGGGAAGUGCAGGAGGAGGGAUUUCCGGGAGAGAUAUUUCCGGCUGGGGGUUGCUGGACAAGCCUCGUGGCGUUCGGGAGGAUUCCCCGGGAGCUGUGUGAAGUGUUUUCCUCAGUUUAAAAAUAAAGUUUGUUC
rnacentral:lncRNA from 1 species